AUUCAUCAAAUAAUUAAAUCAAUAUUGGUUCAGAGCAUCUAAAUCCAAAAGUAAGUACCAAUCUAAAUAUCAACAUUCAUAAAUAGAUAACUAUAAAUCUAUGAUCAUAAAAUAAACUAAAUUUUUGCUACCAAAUUUUUAAGCUUGCUACGUAGAUCUCCAAGCCUAGAUCCUUUCAUCGAUCCUAAUCUUAUUCUUUUAUAUAAAAAAAUAAAAAGAUAUGAGCUACACUAGCUCAGUAAGGAGAACCCAUGCUUCCUUAUCAGAUCAAGUAUAAGUUUUUUUAUGAUAAUAUAAUAUUUAAAAAAUA
rnacentral:lncRNA from 1 species